AUUGAACGCUGGCGGCAUGCCUUACACAUGCAAGUCGAACGGUAACAGGUCUUCGGAUGCUGACGAGUGGCGAACGGGUGAGUAAUACAUCGGAACGUGCCCAGACGUGGGGGAUAACGAGGCGAAAGCUUUGCUAAUACCGCAUACGAUCUAAGGAUGAAAGCAGGGGACCGCAAGGCCUUGUGCGUUUGGAGCGGCCGAUGGCAGAUUAGGUAGUUGGUGGGAUAAAAGCUUACCAAGCCGACGAUCUGUAGCUGGUCUGAGAGGACGACCAGCCACACUUGGACUGAGACACGGCCCAGACUCCUACGGGAGGCAGCAGUGGGGAAUUUUGGACAAUGGGCGAAAGCCUGAUCCAGCAAUGCCGCGUGCAGGAUGAAGGCCUUCGGGUUGUAAACUGCUUUUGUACGGAACGAAAAGGCUCUGGCUAAUACCUGGGGCACAUGACGGUACCGUAAGAAUAAGCACCGGCUAACUACGUG
rnacentral:rRNA from 1 species